UACGUAGGGGGCGAGCGUUGUCCGGAUUUAUUGGGCGUAAAGAGCUCGUAGGCGGUUCGAUAAGUCGGACGUGAAAUCUCCACGCUCAACGUGGAGGGGCCGUUCGAUACUGUCGUGACUCGAGUCCGGUAGGGGAGUGUGGAAUUCCCGGUGUAGCGGUGAAAUGUGUAGAGAUCGGGAGGAACACCGGUGGCGAAGGCGGAUCUCUGGGCCAUUACUGACGCUGAGGAGCGAAAGCGUGGGGAGCGAACAGG
rnacentral:rRNA from 1 species